CGCGCAGGCGGGCCGGUAAGUUGGAAGUGAAAUCUAUGGGCUUAACCCAUAAACUGCUUUCAAAACUGCUGGUCUUGAGUGAUGGAGAGGCAGGCGGAAUUCCGUGUGUAGCGGUGAAAUGCGUAGAUAUACGGAGGAACACCAGUGGCGAAGGCGGCCUGCUGGACAUUAACUGACGCUGAGGCGCGAAAGCGUGGGGAGCAAACA
rnacentral:rRNA from 1 species